CUUGAGCAGAGCUGCUCUUUGGCGUAUACGACACGACAUGUAUUUAUUAUAUUUUAGUUCGAUGAGGAUGGAGUUGGACACAACAAUUUGCGAGCACUUUGCGAUCAGUGCUGUCACUAAAAAACCAUUUUGCUGAUUUUGACCAAAACUUGGUGAAUGCUGAUAGAGUGACAAUCCUUGACCGGAGCAUUGCGGCGAACGUAGAACUCCCUGUUAUGUUGUUUGUUUUUAUUCUAGCAGUUCACGGUUCAGCGGAUGAACUUUGAUUCCUCUGAUCCUCAACUAAGCGGUCGCCUCUCGGCAGACAAUGACAAGUGUCCGAGUGUAUUUCUGCUAUGGAAAAGCUCCUCAUAAAAAACCAUUUCUCGUUCAAAGUAGGCUUAAAACUGUAGGUCCGUUCAUUUGUGGAACAUCAUCAAGACGCACGCGACAAAUAGGAGGCGGCCAAACACCUAACAGAAAUGUAUGUAUGCGCCAAUUAUUUAUGUAUUUACUUUUUUAUAAGUUGUCUUUAUCUUUGAAAACUGUCGAAAUACAUUUCACCUUAUGGGACAUCGAGAAGAAUUUCAAUAAUACCCUUGAUUACAGGGUUAAUGAUGACUUGAUCAUUUGAGACGAGGGCCUCUAUUCUUUGUGCAAAGUGGUAUGCCGAGAGGAGUAAGUCCCCAGUAACCAGUUUUCUAGCCUGACUCCAAACUCUCCACCACAAUGGGCAAAUUGCUGGCAAUUUCGAGCUGCGGCAACAUAAAACUCGUCAAAGAUGAAUCUCCAAGGACUUGUGAUGAUCACCGCAAAUGACUUCUGGAGAAACGGGCUGCAUACAAACAGCGAUAACUUUUAUAAUUAUUAAUUUUUUUUUGUUGAAAUCUUGCUAACGUCAAUUCGA